rnacentral:rRNA from 1 species
GACGAACGCUGGCGGCGUGCUUAACACAUGCAAGUCGAACGGAAAGGCCCUGCUUUUGUGGGGUGCUCGAGUGGCGAACGGUGAGUAACACGUGAGUAACCUGCCCUUGACUUUGGGAUAACUUCAGGAAACUGGGGCUAAUACCGGAUACGAGCUCCUGCUGCAUGGUGGGGGUUGGAAAGUUUCGGCGGUUGGGGAUGGACUCGCGGCUUAUCAGCUUGUUGGUGGGGUAGUGGCUUACCAAGGCUUUGACGGGUAGCCGGCCUGAGAGGGUGACCGGCCACAUUGGGACUGAGAUACGGCCCAGACUCCUACGGGAGGCAGCAGUGGGGAAUAUUGCACAAUGGGCGGAAGCCUGAUGCAGCAACGCCGCGUGCGGGAUGACGGCCUUCGGGUUGUAAACCGCUUUCGCCUGUGACGAAGCGUGAGUGACGGUAAUGGGUAAAGAAGCACCGGCUAACUACGUG